rnacentral:rRNA from 1 species
CAGUAGCCGCGGUAAUACGUAGGUGGCGAGCGUUGUCCGGAAUCAUUGGGCGUAAAGGGAGCGCAGGCGGGCAUGUAAGUCUUUCUUAAAAGUUCGGGGCUCAACCCCGUGAUGGGAAAGAAACUACAUGUCUUGAGUACAGGAGAGGAAAGCGGAAUUCCCAGUGUAGCGGUGAAAUGCGUAGAUAUUGGGAGGAACACCAGUGGCGAAGGCGGCUUUCUGGACUGCAACUGACGCUGAGGCUCGAAAGCCAGGGGAGCGAACGGGAUUAGAGACCCCUGUAGUCCCUGUCUCUUAUACA